CUCUUAAGUUAGUAGGAGCCCUGUGACUCUUUGUGAUGACCGAGAGUCACAGUUGUGGAAUAUGGCCAUCCAUCCAGAACUGAAGAGGGGAAUAUCAGGGCUCCCUUCUGUCAGGCACUGGGCAGAGGAGGAGGAGGAACGGUGGAGACCUCCUCCCCAUCCUGACCCUUCCAGGGAGAAGGAAGAGGAAGACAGUAUAGAUUUACAACAGGGGUUUGAGGGAGGUCACAGCUCAGAGGCAGAUGAAGGGAAAAGUUAGGAAAUCAUGCGAGAGCCAGAGCAAUGCAUGGCUGACACGUUGCCAUUAGAAAACAUUCCAGAUCCACCAUCUCACAGAUCCCGGCGAGCCUUAAAAAUAGGAGAGCAAAUAGCUGAAAGAUAGAGGGCAUAUAGUAGCAACUGUAGAAGUGACAAGGGAGGAAUUGGGAGAGAUGGGGGAUGGAGAUUCACUCAGGACAAUGCCAUUAUCCAAGAGGCUGAGUUCUAUAGCUUCUUUCUGUAAAGAUUGAAAUAAAAAAGGACUGUAAUAAACUUUUCCUUGUCUUUAUACUUCUCUGGGCAACCAGCCGGGAGCCGCUGACAGCAUCCUGACACCUUCAAACGGAGAGCUGGAGAGACAUUUCCCUGUAUUUCACUGGUGUGUCUGCAUGUGAAUAAAGCAACCAUCUUGGGACAGCCUGUGGUGCAGGUAUUUCCUACUAGAUUAGAAUCCCUCCAGGAGAGAACACACCAAUUGUGUAUGAGGGAGAACCAUGAGACACCUGUACAUUUCAGUGAUUUUAUACACACAGCAGACCAGAAUUAUGCCACGGGGAAAGAGAUGUUAAGCCAUUGUACAAUUCUGAGCACAAUUCAAAGUGUUGGUGUUGACCUUUAAAGCCCUAAACGGCCUUGGCCCAGUAUACCUGAAGGAGCAUCUCCACCCCCAUCGUUCUGCCCGGACACUGAGGUCCAGCGCCGAGGGCCUUCUGGCAGUUCCCUCACUGUGAGACGCAAAGCUACAGGGAACCAGGCAGAGAGCUUUCUCGGUAGUGGCGCCCGCCCUGUGGAACGCCCUCCCAUCAGAUGUCAAAGAGAUAAACAACUACCUGACAUUUAGAAGACAUCUGAAGGCAGCCCUGUUCGGGGAAGUUUUUAAUGUGACAUUUUAAUGUAUUUUUAAUAUUUGUUGGAAGCCGCACAUGCGUGGGGUACAAAUAAUAAACUAUUAUUAUUAUUAUUAUUAUUAUUAUUAUUAUUAUUAUUACAGUGAUGUGCAAAGGGGAAUGUAGUUUAGGGCCUGACUUUUGUUAGGAGAGCAUUGUUCUCUUGGGGUGGCAAUGCUGUGUCUGGUCUGUACUGAAGAGGCUGUUUAGGUUUGGGCUCAUGUUGCGGAGAGAUGGAGGGGUUGUUUUAUGGUUGGGUUAGUUCAGUGCUGCAUGUUGGUUUUAAAUAGUUUUGUACUUCUGUGGACGUCUUUGAAAGAUUUGUAUAAAGUGCCCGACAAGUUAAGUAAAUAAUAAUGAUCAAUAGUAACUAUUAUGUGCCUCUUUCCACAGUCUGGUCAGGUUAGUCAAGUGGUUUACAACAGUGUGAGCUGG